rnacentral:rRNA from 1 species
UUGACCUGGCUCAGGAUGAACGCUAGCGGCAGGCUUAACACAUGCAAGUCGAGGGGCAGCGGGGAGGAAGCUUGCUUUCUCCGCCGGCGACCGGCGCACGGGUGAGUAACACGUAUGCAACCUGCCCCUGUCAGGGGGACAACCCGCCGAAAGGCGGGCUAAACCCGCGUACAUGCCACCGGGGCAUCCCGGAGGCAGGAAAGGCUUCGGCCGGACAGGGAUGGGCAUGCGGCGCAUUAGGCAGUAGGCGGGGUAACGGCCCACCUAACCGACGAUGCGUAGGGGUUCUGAGAGGAAGGUCCCCCACACUGGUACUGAGACACGGACCAGACUCCUACGGGAGGCAGCAGUGAGGAAUAUUGGUCAAUGGUCGGGAGACUGAACCAGCCAAGCCGCGUGAGGGAUGAAGGUACAGAGUAUCGUAAACCUCUUUUGUCAGGGAACAAAGGCGGGGACGUGUCCCCGGAUGAGUGUACCUGAAGAAAAAGCAUCGGCUAACUCCGUGCCAGCAGCCGCGGUAAUACGGAGGAUGCGAGCGUUAUCCGGAUUUAUUGGGUUUAAAGGGUGCGCAGGCGGUCUGUUAAGUCAGCGGUCAAAGCCCGGGGCUCAACCCCGGCCCGCCGUUGAAACUGGCAGUCUCGAGUUGGAGAGAAGUAUGCGGAAUGCGCGGUGUAGCGGUGAAAUGCAUAGAUAUCGCGCAGAACUCCGAUUGCGAAGGCAGCAUGCCGGCUCCACACUGACGCUGAGGCACGAAAGCGUGGGUAUCGAACAGGAUUAGAUACCCCUGGUAGUCCACGCAGUAAACGAUGAAUGCUGGCUGUCCGGGGGGGAUUGACCCCUGGGUGGCGAAGCGAAAGCGAUAAGCAUUCCACCUGGGGAGUACGCCGGCAACGGUGAAACUCAAAGGAAUUGACGGGGGCCCGCACAAGCGGAGGAACAUGUGGUUUAAUUCGAUGAUACGCGAGGAACCUUACCCGGGCUCAAACGGGGAGUGACUCAGGCAGAGACGCCUGUUUCCCACGGGACACUCCCCGAGGUGCUGCAUGGUUGUCGUCAGCUCGUGCCGUGAGGUGUCGGCUUAAGUGCCAUAACGAGCGCAACCCCCGCGUGCAGUUGCUAACAGAUAACGCUGAGGACUCUGCACGGACUGCCGGCGCAAGCCGCGAGGAAGGCGGGGAUGACGUCAAAUCAGCACGGCCCUUACGUCCGGGGCGACACACGUGUUACAAUGGGUGGUACAGCGGGAAGCCAGGCGGCGACGCCGAGCGGAACCCGAAAUCCACUCUCAGUUCGGAUCGGAGUCUGCAACCCGACUCCGUGAAGCUGGAUUCGCUAGUAAUCGCGCAUCAGCCAUGGCGCGGUGAAUACGUUCCCGGGCCUUGUACACACCGCCCGUCAAGCCAUGGGAGCCGAGGGCGCUUGAAGUGCGUCGCCGCGAGGCGCGCCCUAGAGCGAAAUCGGUGACUGGGGCUAAGUCGUAACAAGGUAACC